GGUUAUGUUAAAAGCUAACCAAGCCUUAGAUGCUUAGCAGGCUUUAACGAGUGAUCUGCCACAACGGGCUUGAAAUAGGUGCCCUAGAACAUUUAUGGCAGCAGUAAAGAAUCUUGGGCAAUGCAUUCAAGUGUGACCCAGCAAGUCUCCGUGGAUGAUGAAGAUAUUAAAUUAUAUUGUAAAAUUCUAUCUUUUUAUAUUUAUAAUGAAUUAUAAAAAGGAAAGCACAGGCUAAAUUCGUGCCAGCAGCCGCGGUAAUACGGAUUGUGCAAGUCUUUGACCUCGUGACUAGGUGUAAAAGGCCACAUAGGAGGUUAUAAAAGUUAUUGAGUAAAUACAGUGUAUAAACCUUGGAAUCUUAAUAAAACUUUAUAACUAGAAUAUAAUAGGGGUUUUAAGAUAUCUUCUAAGUAAAAGGUGAAAAUUUGUAGAAAUAGAAGGGAUGACCUAUUAAGUGAAAACAUUAAAUCAUUUUAUAUUGACUCUGAAGUGCUAAAGUAUGGGGUUCAAAUGGGGGUUGUAUUCCCAAUAGUCCAU
rnacentral:rRNA from 1 species